rnacentral:rRNA from 1 species
CCUACGGGCGGCAGCAGUGAGGAAUAUUGGUCAAUGGGCGCGAGCCUGAACCAGCCAAGUAGCGUGAAGGAUGACUGCCCUACGAGUUGUAAACUUCUUUUAUAAAGGAAUAAAGUGAGGAACGUGUGCCUUUUUGUAAGUACUUUAUGAAUAAGGAUCGGCUAACUCCGUGCCAGCAGCCGCGGUAAUACGGAGGAUUCAAGCGUUAUCCGGAUUUAUUGGGUUUAAAGGGGGCGUAGAUGGUUUGUUAAGUUAGUUGUGAAAGUUUGCGGCUCAACCUGGAAAUUGCAAUUGAUACUGGUAGGCUUGAGAACAGUUGCGGUAGGCGGAA